rnacentral:rRNA from 1 species
UGGGGAAUCUUCCGCAAUGGACGAAAGUCUGACGGAGCAACGCCGCGUGAGUGAUGAAGGAUUUCGGUCUGUAAAGCUCUGUUGUUUAUGACGAACGUGCAGUGUGUGAACAAUGCAUUGCAAUGACGGUAGUAAACGAGGAAGCCACGGCUAACUACGUGCCAGCAGCCGCGGUAAUACGUAGGUGGCGAGCGUUGUCCGGAAUUAUUGGGCGUAAAGAGCAUGUAGGCGGCUUAAUAAGUCGAGCGUGAAAAUGCGGGGCUCAACCCCGUAUGGCGCUGGAAACUGUUAGGCUUGAGUGCAGGGGAGGAAAGGGGAAUUCCCAGUGUAGCGGUGAAAUGCGUAGAUAUUGGGAGGAACACCAGUGGCGAAGGCGCCUUUCUGGACUGUGUCUGACGCUGAGAUGCGAAAGCCAGGGUAGCGAACGGG